AUACGGGGGGAGCAAGCGUUGUUCGGAAUUACUGGGCGUAAAGGGCGUGUAGGCGGCUUGAUAAGUCAGAUGUGAAAGCCUUCCGCUUAACGGAAGAACUGCAUUUGAAACUGUCGGGCUUGAGUGCGAGAGAGGGUAGUGGAAUUCCCAGUGUAGCGGUGAAAUGCGUAGAUAUUGGGAAGAACACCAGUAGCGAAGGCGGCUACCUGGCUCGUAACUGACGCUAAGGCGCGAAAGCGUGGGGAGCAAACAGGAUUAGAAACCCCGGUAGUCC
rnacentral:rRNA from 1 species